UGGGGAAUUUUGGACAAUGGGGGCAACCCUGAUCCAGCAAUGCCGCGUGUGUGAAGAAGGCCUUCGGGUUGUAAAGCACUUUUGUCCGGAAAGAAAUCUCCUUGGCUAAUACCCUGGGGGGAUGACGGUACCGGAAGAAUCAGCACCGGCUAACUACGUGCCAGCAGCCGCGGUAAUACGUAGGGUGCAAGCGUUAAUCGGAAUUACUGGGCGUAAAGCGUGCGCAGGCGGUUGGGCAAGACAGAGGUGAAAUCCCCGGGCUUAACCUGGGAAUGGCCUUUGUGACUGCCCGGCUAGAGUGUGUCAGAGGGGGGUAGAAUUCCACGUGUAGCAGUGAAAUGCGUAGAGAUGUGGAGGAAUACCGAUGGCGAAGGCAGCCCCCUGGGAUAACACUGACGCUCAGGCACGAAAGCGUGGGGAGCAAACAG
rnacentral:rRNA from 1 species